GUCGCGGCACGACAACACGAAAUAAUUGUAUUUUGUCGACUUGUCGGGUUGUGAAUAAGUCGAAGGCGACAAGUCAACAAUUGACCCGACAAAGACGACAAAAUGAAGGCGACGAUUGUUGGCUUAUUUUGUCGCGUUGUCGGGUUGAAUUUGUCGAUUUGUCGCCUUCACAAUACGUCGACAAAAAACAAUUAUUUAGACUUGUCGUGCCACGACUUAUCGCCUUCACAACCAGACAAGUCGAGAAUGUAGAAUGGCCGCUAACAGCCACCAAAUAUAUCCCACUGCAUAGACGAGGUGUGACUUAUAAAACAUAUUUAUUAUACAAGAACAACCAAAAAACGGUGUCGCUGCACCCCAGACCAGAGCCAACCCUCUACCCAAGGGAUAUCAUUUUGACUAAUUUUAUUUUGGAAGAUGUCAGUAACUGUAGUGAUACAUACCAUAAAAACGUAAAAGGAUCUGUGUUUUACUUUGUGUUCUGUGCUGCCCAGUAGUCAAUAUUGUAAAAUACAUUGGCUGAAUUGGUGACAUGAUGAGCAGAUUGUCAAGAAUCUAGGUCAGUUCAUAGAAAAUCCGCCAAUUUCAGAGAAAAUUAUAAAUUCAAAGGCUAAAUGUGUGAUAAAGAAAUGACUCAGUUAACAUUAGAAAAAACUGAUUGUACCGUCCAGGAUAAUGGAUGAUUCCACCAUCCAGGGGCGAAUGAUUGCUCCACAUUCCGCAAUAUGGACAGACAAUUAUAUGCAACUGGUCGAUGAUUUCAAAGCUGACCUCCCCAAGAUUCUGGGUCAGUUUAUUACUUUUCGUAUCAUCGAUGACGAUAAAGAUCAAGUAGAAAGAAAACAGAAGGCUGAUGGAAAUCUAAAUGCAGCUAUAAAUCUUGUGGACAUACUCUACCAUAGAGGAAGAGAUGUCUUACCCAGAAUAAUAGCUGCAAUGAAGAGCGCUGAACACAACGGCAUGGCCAAACAGCUCGACACUGCUUUGCCUAUUGAUAACAGAUAAACAUUAGAAAGGCUGAAAAUAAACAAUUUGAUUUUUUAAA